CACUCUAUACGGAGUUACAAAGGACGACAUUAGACGAAUCAUCUGGAAAGAUGAAUCAAAGAAGGUAAUAAUCCUGUAGUCGAAAAUGUUGUCUCUCUUGAGUGGAUCCUGAGUACGACGGAGCACGUGAAAUUCCGUCGGAAUCUGGGAGGACCAUCUCCUAAGGCUAAAUACUCUCUAGUGACCGAUAGUGAACCAGUACCGUGAGGGAAAGGUGAAAAGCACCCCGGAAGGGGAGUGAAAUAGAACCUGAAACCGUGUGCUUACAAGUAGUCAGAGCCCGUUAAUGGGUGAUGGCGUGCCUUUUGUAGAAUGAACCGGCGAGUUACGAUUUGAUGCAAGGUUAAGCAGUAAAUGUGGAGCCGUAGCGAAAGCGAGUCUGAAUAGGGCGUUUAGUAUUUGGUCGUAGACCCGAAACCAGGUGAUCUACCCUUGGUCAGGUUGAAGUUCAGGUAACACUGAAUGGAGGACCGAACCGACUUACGUUGAAAAGUGAGCGGAUGAACUGAGGGUAGCGGAGAAAUUCCAAUCGAACCUGGAGAUAGCUGGUUCUCUCCGAAAUAGCUUUAGGGCUAGCCUCAAGUGAUGAUUAUUGGAGGUAGAGCACUGUUUGGACGAGGGGCCCCUCUCGGGUUACCGAAUUCAGACAAACUCCGAAUGCCAAUUAAUUUAACUUGGGAGUCAGAACAUGGGUGAUAAGGUCCGUGUUCGAAAGGGAAACAGCCCAGACCACCAGCUAAGGUCCCAAAAUAUAUGUUAAGUGGAAAAGGAUGUGGCGUUGCCCAGACAACUAGGAUGUUGGCUUAGAAGCAGCCAUCAUUUAAAGAGUGCGUAAUAGCUCACUAGUCGAGUGACACUGCGCCGAAAAUGUACCGGGGCUAAACAUAUUACCGAAGCUGUGGAUUGUCCUUUGGACAAUGGUAGGAGAGCGUUCUAAGGGCGUUGAAGCAUGAUCGUAAGGACAUGUGGAGCGCUUAGAAGUGAGAAUGCCGGUGUGAGUAGCGAAAGACGGGUGAGAAUCCCGUCCACCGAUUGACUAAGGUUUCCAGAGGAAGGCUCGUCCGCUCUGGGUUAGUCGGGUCCUAAGCUGAGGCCGACAGGCGUAGGCGAUGGAUAACAGGUUGAUAUUCCUGUACCACCUAUAAUCGUUUUA
rnacentral:rRNA from 1 species